UUGUUUAAGGGAUUCCUGCACAGGAAACUCGGACACCAGAUAGACUACGGGAGAACGGUGCGGGAUUAAUUGUUUUUCUAGUUGCUGUGACAAACCAUCUGAUAGAAACAAUUUGAUCUACAGUUUGAAGAUGGAAACUUCUGUGGAGGGAAAGCUAUCAUAGCAGCAUGACAGAAGCAGCUGAUCAGACUUGGUCCUUAGUCAGGACACAGAGAGGUGGAUGGCCUGCGACAAGGAGGAAGAAGCCCGCACAGGAAUUACGUUCUUCUCUUUCUCCCUCAGAAGCAAGCCUUAGCCAGCUUGUGCUGUGCCAACAUCAGAGGCAGAACUGAGGAGACAGAUUUAACUUUAACGCCGGGAGCUUCAAUGGCCAUUUUGCCACCAUGAGGCAAAAUGUGUAUAAAUGAAAAUCGAGCAAGUUACUGAGGGAAGAAGAGGAAAAAUCCCCAAAACUUGGUUCCACGGCUGAGCU
rnacentral:lncRNA from 1 species